rnacentral:lncRNA from 13 species
CUCACUUUCACAUCAACAAAACACAAAUAAUGAUGCUCCCCACCUCGCCGCUCUCAUCUGUGUCUGCUCUUGCCCACCUGGAAGCCACACAUCCCAAACAGACAAGAUUCCAUAUGUGUGCACAGGAGAGUGUGUGCACAGGAGAGUGUGUGCACAGGAGAGUGUGUGCACAGGAGAGGAGAUUUUGUUAACAAUUUCCUUCCUCCCUCCCUCCCUACCUCCUUUCCUCUCUCUCUCUUUCUUUUCUUUCUUUUUCUUUCCUUCCUUCUCUUCCCCUUUCUUCCUUCCUUCCUUUCUUUCCUUCUUUUCUUUCUUUCCUUUCUCUGUUUCUUUGUCUUUCUUUUAUUUAAUUUUUUUCUUUUUCCUUCUUUCCUUCCUUCUUUCCUUCCUUCCUUCCUUCCUUCCUUCCUUCCUUCCUCCCUCCCUCCCUCCCACCCUUUCUCUCUUUCUUCUCUUUCUUUUUGAGAGGGUGGUCUCACUCUGUCACCCAGGCUGGAGUGCAGUGACACAAUGACAGCUCACUGUAACCUCCUCAUCCCAGGCUCCAGCAAUCCUCCCACCUCAGUCUCCAGAGUAGCCGGGACUACGGGUUUGCACCACCAUGCCCAGCUAAUUUUCGUAUUUUUUGUAGAGACAGGAUUUUGCCAUGUUGCCCAGGCUGGUUUCAAACUCCUGGGCUCAAGCGAUCCACCUGCCUUUGCCAAAGUGCUGGGAUUACAGGUGUGAGCCACCGUGCCUGGACUUUGUCGACGAUUUCUUGGGGAUUCAAGGAAGAAGUUUCAUCUCACACCCCCAUCAGCAGCCGCUUUACUAAAGUGAGCUGGACAUCUGUUCUUCACUCCAGGUUCCUCUGCCCUGCCGGCUGCCCGUUCUCUCCUCCCUCCUCCCACAGCCUCUGGAAAUGCCAUCUGGGGAGCUGUUCCGCAAAGCUGCAACUUACCCACCUUCACAAGCAAAACACGAACUCCCUGCCAGGCACUGUUCAGAGUGCUUCACGUGAAGUCUCCCACUCAGAAUUCACAGCGAUCCUGGGAGCUAGAUCUGUUCCUGUGCCCGUUUUACAAACUGAGGCAGAGUUUGGUAACUGGACUUGCCUUUGGAACCCCAGCUGCCAUGCUGUGAGGAAGCGCAAGCCAACCCACGUGGAGAGGCCAUGCAGAGAGGUUGUGUAUGGGGUUCUAGUCAAAAGCCUGGCUGAGAUCCCAGUCAACAGUCAGCUGUGUGAGUGAAUGUACCUUUGGAUUAUUCCAUUCCCUGGUUAUCAAGUUACCCCCAGCCUGUCUUCCCAGACAAGGACCUAGAACAAGGCAGCAGAGAUAAGCUGUUCCUACCAUGCCCUGUUCAAAUUCCUGACCCAGACAACUCAUGGGCAGAAUAAAAUGGUUGUUUUGGGUCA